UACGUAGGGUGCAGCGUUGUCCGGAAUUAUUGGGCGUAAAGAGCUUGUAGGCGGUUUGUCGCGUCUGCUGUGAAAUUUCGGGGCUCAACCCCGAACUUGCAGUGGGUACGGGCAGACUAGAGUGUGGUAGGGGAGACUGGAAUUCCUGGUGUAGCGGUGAAAUGCGCAGAUAUCAGGAGGAACACCGAUGGCGAAGGCAGGUCUCUGGGCCAUAACUGACGCUGAGAAGCGAAAGCAUGGGGAGCGAACAGG
rnacentral:rRNA from 1 species